AACGCAGCGAAGGGCGAUACGUAAUGUGAAUUGCAGAAUUCAGUGAAUCAUCGAAUCUUUGAACGCACCUUGCGCCCCUUGGCAUUCCGAGGGGCACACCCGUUUGAGCGUCGUGAAAUUCUCAAAAACCCUUUUCUUUUGGGAAAGGAUUUUGGACUUGGAGGCUUUUUGCUGGUUUCACCUCGAAGCCAGCUCCUCCUAAAUAAAUUAGUGGGGUCUGCUUUGCCGAUCCUUGACGUGAUAAGAUGUUUCUACGUCUUGGGUUUGGCAUCGUCCCUUGGACUCCUGCUUCUAACCGUCUCAUUGACAAUGAUGGUGUUCCGGUCACCACCGUUUCAUCGGUGGGAGGCUUGAACCACGAAAAGAACCUUGACCUCAAAUCGGGUGAGACUACCCGCUGAACUUAA
rnacentral:rRNA from 1 species